GGCCCCGUGGCGCAAUGGCAGCGCGUCUGACUCCAGAUCAGAAGGUUGGGUGUUCGAGUCACUCCGGGGUCA
rnacentral:tRNA from 1 species